GUUGCCAAAUAGUUGUUUAAAUUUUUAAUAUUUUAAAAUUAAUAUUUAUAAGAUUUAGUUAAAUUAGAUUUAAUAUUUAAAUUAAAUUAAUAAUAUUUAAUUAAUUAAAAAUAAAAAUAUUAAUAAGAUUAUUAAUAAUAUUAUUAAUUUUAAUAAUAAUAUUAAUAAUAUUAUUAAAAUUAAUAUUAUUUUUGAGAGGUGAAAUCACUCCAGGAAGCUUUCCAGCA
rnacentral:lncRNA from 1 species